rnacentral:rRNA from 1 species
UACGAAGGGGGCUAGCGUUGCUCGGAAUCACUGGGCGUAAAGGGUGCGUAGGCGGGUCUUUUAAGUCAGGGGUGAAAUCCUGGAGCUCAACUCCAGAACUGCCUUUGAUACUGAAGAUCUUGAGUUCGGGAGAGGUGAGUGGAACUGCGAGUGUAGAGGUGAAAUUCGUAGAUAUUCGCAAGAACACCAGUGGCGAAGGCGGCUCACUGGCCCGGUACUGACGCUAAGAUACGAAAGCGUGGGGAGCAAACAGG